AUAAACCCCUCCCAAGCAGCCCCUUAUUAGGCUUGGCCGGAGGAGUUUUUUUAGGGCCAAAGAGAGUGCGGCGACGAGCCGAACUGGAGGAAGAUAGCUUGGUGAGAGAUCUAUAAGUGCGGCGACGGGCGGCGAAGCUUCUUAGCUUGGGAAAGCAGCGGAUGGAUCCGAUUCGGGAGGAGGAUGCUUCUGCCGAUGUGCUUUUUCGUUGGUAUUGGGUCUGUGAUUUUAGUCUCUCAAGGUUGAAGCACGGCGCAUUUUCAUUUUUGAAGUUAACUGCUGGAACGCCUAAAUGGAUGGCACCAGCAGUGUUGUGUAACGAAUCAUCAAAUGAGAAGUGAGUUUCCUUAUCUAUAGUUACACAUAAGCACCUUAUUAUUUUUAAGAUAUUUCUAGUAUAACUCAUAGUUUUAUUUGGCCUGGUGGCAUUCAUUGAUGUGCUUGUUGACUUGAGCGGUUCUCUUGUGAAGUGGAAUGCUUGUUUAGUUUUUCUUU